rnacentral:rRNA from 1 species
UACGUAGGGUGCAAGCGUUGUCCGGAAUUAUUGGGCGUAAAGAGCUCGUAGGCGGUUUGUCGCGUCGAAUGUGAAAACCCGGGGCUCAACCCCGGGCCUGCAUUCGAUACGGGCAGACUAGAGUUCGGUAGGGGAGUCUGGAAUUCCUGGUGUAGCGGUGAAAUGCGCAGAUAUCAGGAGGAACACCGGUGGCGAAGGCGGGACUCUGGGCAGUAACUGACGCUGAGGAGCGAAAGCGUGGGGAGCGAACAGG